rnacentral:rRNA from 1 species
AGCGAACGCUGGCGGCAGGCCUAACACAUGCAAGUCGAACGGACCCUUCGGGGUUAGUGGCGGACGGGUGAGUAACACGUGGGAACGUGCCUUUAGGUUCGGAAUAGCUCCUGGAAACGGGUGGUAAUGCCGAAUGUGCCCUUAGGGGGAAAGAUUUAUCGCCUUUAGAGCGGCCCGCGUCUGAUUAGCUAGUUGGUGAGGUAAUGGCUCACCAAGGCUACGAUCAGUAGCUGGUCUGAGAGGAUGGCCAGCCACAUUGGGACUGAGACACGGCCCAAACUCCUACGGGAGGCAGCAGUGGGGAAUCUUGCGCAAUGGGCGAAAGCCUGACGCAGCCAUGCCGCGUGAAUGAUGAAGGUCUUAGGAUUGUAAACUCCUGUCAUGCGGGAACAAGCAAGUGAUAGUACCGCAAGAGGAAGAGACGGCUAACUCUGUGCCAGCAGCCGCCGUAAGAC